GCCAGCAGUCACGUCACCCUGUAACUCACAACUGGCAACCCACUGAAGUUAAGCAGGUGUGAGCCUGGUCAGUAUCUGGAUGGGAGAUCUCCUGGGAAAAACUAAGGUUGCUGCUGGAA
rnacentral:rRNA from 1 species